ensembl:lncRNA
AAAACACACGUAGUUCAACAGUAAAUAAACUAAAGCGACAUCAGUUAGCAGCGGUCACAUUUACAGAAGGGGCUUUGGAGUUGACGUCACGCCGCAAUGCAUUGUGGGAGCGCGGCACCAUUUUCGGGGUCUACGAAUCAAAACGAACUACGAUUACAAGAUGCUUAAAAGCAGCUCAAAAGAGAAUGGACUGUAUAGAGACCGAUUGCGUCCAGAGGCGAAGCGGCGGUACUUGCAGAAAAUCGCGUGCAUUGGAAAUGUGGACCGGUAUGAAACACAGCGGUGGAGUAGAAACCCUGAAGACCAACCGCUACUGACGUAGCCUGACAUAUUUUCGUACCUUAUCUGUGGAGUCAGCGCUACAACUCGUCAUUCAAACAAAGGUGCUGCACUCUCAAAGACUGAAUGAACCAGCAUUGCAGCCAUGGGUCACUGUGAGCAUCACAGGGAAGGUUGAAGCCGCCCACUGCACCCGUGUGGCCGGAGUCGUGGAGACCUGCACCCAUGUCGCUGCUCUUCUGUUUAAUGUAGAAGCAACAGUGCGGAUCUGUGGCACAAGGACUGUUACAGAUGAACCUGCAUACUGGGUUUUGCCUGGUAAUAUGACCAAGAUACAGCCAGAGGUUGGCCAUAAGAGACUUCUCCUCUUCAGCUGCCCAAAAAAAGGCUCUUGAUCAAAACAUAAACAGACCAUCCGUAAUGAAAGGUAAAAGGAGCCGUCCUCAAAAAAGAAAAAUCCCACCUGCUACUGUGGAGGAGUUGUCACUGCUAUAAUGCCAUAAUGUUUUAUCUAGGGGUCUAAAUUUAUGCCUGUAGUGCACUGCCAUGUAAAUUAUUUGCAUUUACUGAAUAUGUACUGACUGAGUACCACUGUUCAAAAGUUGAAUAAAGAAACAAACUAAGUUUUGCCUCUUUUUUUAUUAUUAAAACCACUUUAUAGAACAUCACAUCAGUUACAAUGUAGAAUCCAUGUCAUUUAUAGUUUAUAAAAGACAAAAUGUUUACACAAAAUCAUGACAGUGUUUACAUGAUAUCACCCACUACUAACAUUAUUUACUGUAUCUUUUGAAAAAAAAAAUACCACUAUUUAUACAGCAAAAGACUUAAGAAUAUUUAACAGGAGCAAGUUUCAUUUUCCCUGGUUUUACUAUAACACUGUUCAACAAACGCAGCAAACCUUCACCAUCUUAUCCAGAAGGGUCACCUCUUCACCCUCACAUGGAAGAAGUAAUCUGAUUGGCAUGGUGGUAUGUUUGAAGCAGGUCCCUUAUGUAGCACUGGAACCCAGUCACGAUGUGUUU